CGCUGGCGGCGUGCUUAACACAUGCAAGUCGAACGGAGUGCUCAUGACAGAGGUUUCGGCCAAUUGAUUGAGUUACUUAGUGGCGGACUGGUGAGUAACGCGUGAGGAACCUGCCUUUCAGAGGGGGACAACAGUUGGAAACGACUGCUAAUACCGCAUAAUGUAUCCGGAAGGCAUCUUCUGGAUACCAAAGGAGAAAUCCGCUGAUGGAUGGGCUCACGUCUGAUUAGCUAGUUGGUGAGGUAACGGCUCACCAAGGCUGCGAUCAGUAGCCGGACUGAGAGGUUGAACGGCCACAUUGGGACUGAGAUACGGCCCAGACUCCUACGGGAGGCAGCAGUGGGGAAUAUUGGGCAAUGGGCGAAAGCCUGACCCAGCAACGCCGCGUGAAGGAAGAAGGCCUUCGGGUUGUAAACUUCUUUUAAGAGGGACGAAGAAGUGACGGUACCUCUUGAAUAAGCCACGGCUAACUACGUG
rnacentral:rRNA from 1 species